CACGUAGGGCGCAAGCGUUGUCCGGAAUUAUUGGGCGUAAAGAGCUCGUAGGCGGUCUGUUGCGUCUGCUGUGAAAACCCGGGGCUUAACCCCUGGCUUGCAGUGGAUACGGACAGACUAGAGGUAGGUAGGGGAGAAUGGAAUUCCCGGUGUAGCGGUGAAAUGCGCAGAUAUCGGGAGGAACACCGGUGGCGAAGGCGGUUCUCUGGGCCUUACCUGACGCUGAGGCAGCGAAAG
rnacentral:rRNA from 1 species